rnacentral:rRNA from 2 species
AAAUUGAAGAGUUUGAUCAUGGCUCAGAUUGAACGCUGGCGGCAGGCCUAACACAUGCAAGUCGAACGGUAGCACAGAGAGCUUGCUCUCGGGUGACGAGUGGCGGACGGGUGAGUAAUGUCUGGGAAACUGCCUGAUGGAGGGGGAUAACUACUGGAAACGGUAGCUAAUACCGCAUAACGUCGCAAGACCAAAGAGGGGGACCUUCGGGCCUCUUGCCAUCAGAUGUGCCCAGAU